rnacentral:rRNA from 1 species
UACAGAGGGGGCAAGCGUUGUUCGGAAUUACUGGGCGUAAAGGGCGCGUAGGCGGCCUGCUAAGUCGAACGUGAAAUCCCUGGGCUCAACCCAGGAACUGCGUCCGAUACUGGUUGGCUUGAAUCCGGGAGAGGGAUGUGGAAUUCCAGGUGUAGCGGUGAAAUGCGUAGAUAUCAGGAGGAACACCGGUGGCGAAGGCGGGUCUCUGGGCAACAACUGACGCUGAGGAGCGAAAGCGUGGGGAGCGAACAGG